GUAUAAGCAAUGAGCAAGAGAGUAGAACACUUGGUAUCGCGCAGAGAGAAGACCCUUGGCUGAAAGGUCUUUCGAUUCAAUGUUCGAACGUAGCUUGCGAGCUGUCAGACUGAACGCACAGUAGGCCUGACCGGAGUGACAUCCGUUAACGAUUGUUAUUAAGAGGGGUUUAAAAGCCCAAUUUAGGUGGUACCGCGAAAAGCACUUCGUCCUAUUU
rnacentral:ncRNA from 1 species